CAGGCUUAACACAUGCAAGUCGAGGGGCAGCAUGGUCUUAGCUUGCUAAGGCCGAUGGCGACCGGCGCACGGGUGAGUAACACGUAUCCAACCUGCCGUCUACUCUUGGACAGCCUUCUGAAAGGAAGAUUAAUACAAGAUGGCAUCAUGAGUCCGCAUGUUCACAUGAUUAAAGGUAUUCCGGUAGACGAUGGGGAUGCGUUCCAUUAGAUAGUAGGCGGGGUAACGGCCCACCUAGUCUUCGAUGGAUAGGGGUUCUGAGAGGAAGGUCCCCCACAUUGGAACUGAGACACGGUCCAAACUCCUACGGGAGGCAGCAGUGAGGAAUAUUGGUCAAUGGGCGAGAGCCUGAACCAGCCAAGUAGCGUGAAGGAUGACUGCCCUAUGGGUUGUAAACUUCUUUUAUAAAGGAAUAAAGUCGGGUAUGCAUACCCGUUUGCAUGUACUUUAUGAAUAAGGAUCGGCUAACUCCGUGCCAGCAGCCGCGGUAAUACGGAGGAUCCGAGCGUUAUCCGGAUUUAUUGGGUUUAAAGGGAGCGUAGAUGGAUGUUUAAGUCAGUUGUGAAAGUUUGCGGCUCAACCGUAAAAUUGCAGUUGAUACUGGAUAUCUUGAGUGCAGUUGAGGCAGGCGGAAUUCGUGGUGUAGCGGUGAAAUGCUUAGAUAUCACGAAGAACUCCGAUUGCGAAGGCAGCCUGCUAAGCUGCAACUGACAUUGAGGCUCGAAAGUGUGGGUAUCAAACAGGAUUAGAUACCCUGGUAGUCCACACGGUAAACGAUGAAUACUCGCUGUUUGCGAUAUACAGCAAGCGGCCAAGCGAAAGCGUUAAGUAUUCCACCUGGGGAGUACGCCGGCAACGGUGAAACUCAAAGGAAUUGACGGGGGCCCGCACAAGCGGAGGAACAUGUGGUUUAAUUCGAUGAUACGCGAGGAACCUUACCCGGGCUUAAAUUGCAGAUGAAUUACGGUGAAAGCCGUAAGCCGCAAGGCAUCUGUGAAGGUGCUGCAUGGUUGUCGUCAGCUCGUGCCGUGAGGUGUCGGCUUAAGUGCCAUAACGAGCGCAACCCUUGUUGUCAGUUACUAACAGGUUCCGCUGAGGACUCUGACAAGACUGCCAUCGUAAGAUGUGAGGAAGGUGGGGAUGACGUCAAAUCAGCACGGCCCUUACGUCCGGGGCUACACACGUGUUACAAUGGGGGGUACAGAGGGCCGCUACCACGCGAGUGGAUGCCAAUCCCAAAAACCUCUCUCAGUUCGGACUGGAGUCUGCAACCCGACUCCACGAAGCUGGAUUCGCUAGUAAUCGCGCAUCAGCCACGGCGCGGUGAAUACGUUCCCGGGCCUUGUACACACCGCCCGUCAAGCCAUGGGAGCCGGGGGUACCUGAAGUGCGUAACCGCGAGGAGCGCCCUAGGGUAAAACUGGUGACUGGGGCUAA
rnacentral:rRNA from 1 species